GGACUACCCGGGUAUCUAAUCCUGUUUGCUCCCCUAGCUUUCGUUCCUCAGUGUCAGUUGCGAUCCAGUCAGCCGCCUUCGCCACGGGUGUUCCUGCAGAUAUCUACGCAUUUCACCGCUACACCUGCAAUUCCACUGACCUCUCUCGCACUCGAGCACGGCAGUUUUGAAAGCAGCCUCUGAGUUAAGCCCAGAGAUUUCACUCCCAACUUGCCGCACCACCUACGAACCCUUUACGCCCAGUAAUUCCGAGCAACGCUGGCCCCCUACGUAUUACCGCGGCUGCUGGCAC
rnacentral:rRNA from 1 species